rnacentral:rRNA from 1 species
AGUGAACGCUGGCGGUAGGCCUAACACAUGCAAGUCGAACGGCAGCACAGUAAGAGCUUGCUCUUACGGGUGGCGAGUGGCGGACGGGUGAAGAAUACAUCGGAAUCUACUUUUUCGUGGGGGAUAACGUAGGGAAACUUACGCUAAUACCGCAUACGACCUACGGGUGAAAGCAGGGGAUCUUCGGACCUUGCGCGAUUGAAUGAGCCGAUGUCGGAUUAGCUAGUUGGCGGGGUAAAGGCCCACCAAGGCGACGAUCCGUAGCUGGUCUGAGAGGAUGAUCAGCCACACUGGAACUGAGACACGGUCCAGACUCCCACGGGAGGCGGCAGUGGGGAAUAUUGGACAAUGGGCGCAAGCCUGAUCCAGCCAUACCGCGUGGGUGAAGAAGGCCUUCGGGUUGUAAAGCCCUUUUGUUGGGAAAGAAAAGCAGCAGGUUAAUACCCCGCUGUUCUGACGGUACCCAAAGAAUAAGCACCGGCUAACUUCGUG